GUCAAUCUCUGCAAUCGCCCUAGGAAUCGUGGUUUUGGUGCUGGAUGGAUGUGAGGUGGACCAUGUCAUUAAACAAAUCAUUUGUGGUUCCUUUCUUUUUAUGAUUUUUCUCAUGAAAGUCUUGGAAUUUAACUCAAAGGAAAGGAAAUAUAAAGUACGGUUUGGAGUAAUUGGUGGUUUUGCUCGAAUUGCUUUCCCAAUAAGCCUGUUCAUAUGGAGUAUUUCAACAUUUACAAUGGUGUCCAUCCUAGACAAUCCGAAACAGAAGUGUAAUAUAAACAACAGCCUGUAUUGGGCAUGUUUUGCUAUAGCAAUUUUAAUAAUUGUUUGUACA